UCCUCCCUCUGUCUGCGUGCCUAAUACAUGCAAGUAGAACGCACAGUUUAUACCGUAGCUUGCUACACCAUAGACUGUGAGUUGCGAACGGGUGAGUAACGCGUAGGUAACCUGCCUGGUAGCGGGGGAUAACUAUUGGAAACGAUAGCUAAUACCGCAUAAUAUUGAUUAUUGCAUGAUAAUUGAUUGAAAGAUGCUAUUGCAUCACUACCAGAUGGACCUGCGUUGUAUUAGCUAGUAGGUGAGGUAACGGCUCACCUAGGCGACGAUACAUAGCCGACCUGAGAGGGUGAUCGGCCACACUGGGACUGAGACACGGCCCAGACUCCUACGGGAGGCAGCAGUAGGGAAUCUUCGGCAAUGGACGAAAGUCUGACCGAGCAACGCCGCGUGAGUGAAGAAGGUUUUCGGAUCGUAAAGCUCUGUUGUAAGAGAAGAACGGGUGUGAGAGUGGAAAGUUCACACUGUGACGGUAUCUUACCAGAAAGGGACGGCUAACUACGUG
rnacentral:rRNA from 1 species